rnacentral:tRNA from 1 species
GCGCCCGUAGCUCAACUGGAUAGAGCAACGACUUCUAAUCAGUAGGUUGAAGGUUCGAGUCCUCCCGGGCGCGC